AGCAUCUUUUGUGGGUCCAUAUAAAUUUUAGGAUUAUUUUUUCUAGUUCCGUGGAAAAUACUAUAGGCAUUUUGAUAGGGAUUGCAUUGAAUUUGUAGAUCAUUUUGGGUAACAGCUAUUUUAACUAUAUUAAUUAUUCCAAUCCAUGACUAUGGUAUAUCUUUUGUGUCAUCUUUCUUUCAUUAAUGUCCCACAGUUUUCAGAACACACAUCUUUUACUCCCUCAAUUAAAUUUAUUACUAUUUUAUUCUUUUUGAUACAAUUAUAAAUAAAACUGUUUUUUAAAAUUUCUGCUAUUUCAUUAUCAGUUUAUAGAAACAAUAAAAGAUUCUGUAUCUUGCAGCAGCUUUACUGAUAUCAUUUAUUAGUUCUAUUAGUUUUUUGAUGGGUCCAUAGAGUUUUCUAUAUAUAGCAUUACACCAUCUGCAAGUAUUGACAAUUUUACUUGUGCCUUACCAAUUUGGAUGUCAUUAUUUCUUUUUCUUGCCUGACAUCUAUGGCUAAGACUCCUAAUACUAUGCUGGAUAAAAGUGGUGAGAGUGAAAAUCCUUGUCUUCUUCCUAAUUUAGAGAUAAGACUUUCAAUUUCUCACCAUUAAAUAUAAUAUUAGCUGUGGCUUUGUCAUAUAGGACCUUUAUCAUGAUGAGUUAUAUUGUCUUUAAACCUACUUUGUGGAGAGUUUUUAUUGUAAACAGAUGUUGAAUUUUGUAAAACGCUUUUUCUGCAUCUAUUGAGAUAAUUAGACUUUUAUGUAUCUAUCGAUCCCUCUUAGUAUCUAUCCCUCCACAUACAUAUAUUUUCAAUAUUCCUAAAUUUUUGAUGCAAAGUCAUUUUUAUUAGUUUACAAAAAAACUUUUAGGGUAGUUCAUGCUCAGAGUUGGUAUUAUGGACAUAGAUGAUAGUGUUUUCUUUGGGUCAGAUAUAACAUUCAAUAGUUAAUAUCUUCUUUAAUGUCAUGUUGAUUAUAUUCUAUUAAGUCUCAACUUGCAUUUGUUUUUUUUUUAAGAUUUAUUCAUUCAUUCAUUCAUUCAUUAAUUCAUUCAUUCAUUCAUUGAGAGCGAAAGAGAGGCAGAGAGAGAAGCAGGCUCCAUGCAGGAAGCCCAACGUGGGACUCCAUCCCGGGUCUCCAGGAUCACACCCCGGGCUGCAGGUGGCGCUAAACCGCUGCGCCACCGGGGCUAACCUCAACUUACAUUUGAACUGGAACACUAAUUUGAGUUGACAUCUCAGUUGAGAAAAUUAUUGAACCAGAAAUCUGUCACCCACUAAUCAGUACAUAAGUGUAUUUUACUACCAUUAGUACCUAAUAUUACAAUAGAUUAUUUUUUAUUAUUAAAUUUUCAGAGAUACUUAAAAAUGAGACUUAUGACAUGAUCUCAAAUUCAUUAGUAGUUAUUCAUAUAAUUAAUUAAUCUGUGUAAUGAUUAUUCAAAUAUCUAAUGAAUGUCAGGUAUUGUUUUUGGAACACAGUUUAAAAACAAAAUAAAAAAGAACUAAAGAAAUUCCUUGCUCUCAUAAAGGUAACUUCCUAGUCAGGAAAGAUGGACAGUAGUAAAUAGUAAAAAAUAAGUCAAUAUAGUCUUUAUCAGGAGGCCAUAUGUAUUCAGAAAACAAACAGGUAUGGGGAUAAAAUAGCCAACUGCUAUUUUAUGUACUUAUUUUAUUAUAUAUUAUGUUAUAAUUAAUAUUAUAUUAUGGAAUAUAUAUUUCAGUUUGUGUCAAACUAUCGUCAUUGAAAAUGCCUUGCUUCUAUCUUAUUUUUUAAGUAUUUUAUUUAUUUACUUAUACACCCUUUAUCUAUUGCUAUAUUGUUCUCUCAUAUAAAAGCAACUAUUCUAGGAGUGCUUGGGUGGCUUAGCCAGUUGAGCAUUUGACUUUGACUCAGGUCACAAUCUCAUGGUCCUGGCAUUGAGUUCUGCAUCAAGGUCCUGCUCAGCAGGGAGUCUGCUUAUCUCUCUGUCCCCUGCCCAUCUAGUGCUCUCUCUUAAAUAAUUACAAUCUUUUUAAAAAGAAAAUAAUAAAUUUAAAAAGAUUCAAGCAAUUAUUCUAACAUACUUGGUAUACAUCAUACUGCUUGCAUAUGUUCUUAUAAACUAUUUUGGAUAUGAUUAAUUAAUUGCAGUGAACCUAUAGAUCUCAUUUUCUUCUCACGUUUUUCCCCAUUUAAUUAUAUGCUUUCUUACAUGUACAUCUAGUCAAUUUCUUAUGUUUGGCACAUUGAACUAGAGAAUUUGUUCACUAGAUAUGAUUCAACCAUUCUAGGGGGCCUAGUUAGUAUUUGUCAGCCAAGGAUCUUCAAAUAAGGCUGUAAAGUAUAUAUGUAAAGUCUAUGCAAAGUUAUGUUUUUUCUAUUACUGUUCUUUGAAUCAUAGAUUCUCAAGAUUGGAAUUAAAUUCUAAUGUCAUGUAGCAUAACUCAUUUUUCAAUGCUUAUAUUCCUUCUACAAGAACCAAGCUGACACAUAUGUUCUUAAACACUUGGAUGUAUCCAGUGAUACUGACUGAGUGAUAAUCAAAGUACAGUUUGAUAAUUAUGGGUAUUAAAAAGUUAUUUUUUAUAAUUAGAAGAAUAAAUCUGGUGAAAAAUGAAAAUGGGUAGAAUUAUUGGCAAAGUUGCAUCUAAAUAACUAGAGAUGCUAGCAUGAAACAGAUUUAGAAAAAUAAAAAUAUAUUACUAGGAAGUUCAGCUGGAAACAGACCGUUAGUGGGAACAGAAGUCUCUGAAGUUCAUGAAUCUAAAUAUUAUAAGAGUAGGGUUCCUAUAAAUUUUAAAGACAAAGUAAGAAAGAAAAUUAUGUGACUUCCAAAGCUAAAUGCAAAUCAAAACCAUAAUGAAAUAUCACCUCACAACUAUCAGAAUAGCUCUUAUGAAAAAAAAAAGAAAAAAAAAAAAGAGGGACUCCUGGGUGGCUCAGCAGUUGAGCAUCUGCCUUUGGCUCAAGGCAUGAUCCUGGGUCCCAGGAUCAAGUCCCACAUCGGGCUCCCUGCAAGCAGCCUGCUUCUCCCUCUGCUUAUGUCUCCGCCUCUCUCUGUUUGUCUCUCAUUAAUAAAUAAAAUAUUAAAAAAAAGGAGAUAAGAACUAACAAAUGUUGGUAAGAAUGUAGAGAAAGUCAGUCAUUGCAAAGGAAAGGAAUCUUGCCAUUUGGGACAACAUGAAUGAAACUUGUGGAUAUUAUGUUAAGUGAAAUAAAUCAGACAGGAAAAGGCAAAUAUUAUGUAAUUUUUUAAAAAAAGAUUUUAACAAAUAAGUCAUAGGGAUGUAGUGUACAGCAUGGGGAAUAUAGUCAAUAAUAAUGUAUUAACUUGUGUAGUGACACACAGUAACUAGACUUUUUGUAAUGUCAUUUUGCAAUGUGUACAAGUGUCUUAUUACUAUGUUGUAAACCUGAAACUAAUAUAUUUUAUGUCAAAAAUACCUCAAUUUAAAAAAAAUAACAGGAAGGAUUAUUUAAUCUUCAAAGCCAAAGAAAAGUUAUAAGUAAUUAUUGUUUUUAGAUUUGUGUCUAGAAAAUAUUGCAUUUAAUUAAACUCUAAAAUUCUCUUUCUAUUGUAUUAGAAAAUCAGUGUCUUGCUUGUGUAUGAUCUGGGAAAGAAGCAUGUUUCCGUUUCUCAUGUGUUUUCAAAGAGGACAAAUGGAAGUGUGACUCAGAGCAGGUUAAAACAUUUAAAUUAUACUUCAAAAAGAGUAGAAAUUAUUUCAGAGGAGAAGUUAGCUUUUUUCAGCCAGCCAGAGAAAAGAAAAAGUACAUAGUCUACUCUAAAAAUCAGGAAGGAACAGAUCUAUACUUCUCUGUUCCCAUAUUGUCUUUUAUAAGCACCAAAGACAAGUUAGCUAUGGCACUUCCUAGAGAAGGAAUUACUGGUUAUAUUCCAGGUUUCACUGAGUAUUCUCAUAUUUGUGUGUGGCGAUUGGGAGAGUAGGAAUGAGGUUAUGCCACGUCAGUGUCAGGUUUGGGUUUCUAGAAAGUCUGCGUGAUGAAGAGUAAUCAAUAAGGUCAUUAUGGAAAAUACAGCCUUAUGAUUUUUAAGUCAAGAAUAGAGAAAGCCAAUUAGGAGUUGCUAUGAAUAAGGAAUAUAAAACAAUAAAAAUAAAAUUUUAAAACAGGAAAACUCUGAAGCUUUGAGAUGAAUUUUUAAAAAUAAAAAAAAAUUGUCAGCAGCAUUCUUUACUGAGCAUAAACAAUUCUACAAAGUAUCAACAGUAAUAAUACAAGGCAUUCUGUGACAUGCCAAAAAUAUGCAAAAGGAAGACUGACCGAUAAACCUGUUGGAAUAUAAGAAAAAGACAAGGAUGAUAUAGUAUAUUAAAAACAAUUCCAACUCCCAACAAACAUGAAUAACAACUUAAUUUUUUUAACAAUGACAAGUGUAUCCCUGCUUGGUUCCUCGAACAGGCUAGACAAUAAACAACCAAAGAAACAGAUAAAUAGUUUAAGAUACCCAAUCGUCAAAUUGCCCUGCUUCCUGACAGAACUUAACUCAAAAUAAAUUACCCACUUCCUUAAGCCCUUCCUAAAUCAUUCAGCAAACAUCCAUACACUAUAUCAAGGCCAUCCUAACUCUUCCUUAGUCAGACACCCCAUAGUUCACCAUGGUGUAUAGUAGUCUCCCUUACUGCAACAAGUCAGUAAAUCUAACUUUGUUCAAUAUUAGUUAGGUCAUGGAGAAUGAGCUGUCAGUGUAAAUUAUGAAACUAAGGAUUUUCGGCUGAUGGCAGCCUCUGAUAUAAUCUGGAAAUGUAGGAAUACUACAAUCUAAGUACUAUUUUUGGAAUGUUCAUCAGAAAAGGGGCAUCAUUAACUCAAGUGCCUACAUUACUUUCUCCUUUAUACUUACAUAUGGGUCUUUGGAUAUACAAUAGUGCCUGUGGUAAAUGGAAGAAACAAAAUUAUUAAUAUUCUCUACUACAUUGUGAAUUAAUUUUUGUCAUCAGGCAUAGGUAAAGGAUUCUGAGAUUCUGAUUACAACAUGGGUAUAUAUUUCCUGAUAAAGUGAGUCAAUCAUGUCUUGACUACAAUGCCAUUUGUAGACAUCUUAGCAUGCUUGAAAAACAAAAAUAAACAUUUAAUUUCAUUUUUAAGUGCUUUUACCUCUCUUUACCAAAACACCAUGUCACAGAUUGCAACGUCCUUCUCACCUGGUUCCAAAAGGAGAAGACACAGGGAGCAGACCCUCAGUCUAUCUGUACUUUGGAGGAAAACUUCACUGAAACUGAGGUUCUCACAUAAUAUAAGCAAGAAAUACUCCUGGUAUUUAGGGGUUGUUUAUUAUGACAACAACUGACGCCUUUGGUCUUAGAACAAAACGUGUAUCAGGAGUGAGACAUGGGGUCAACAUUCUCUAUACACAUUAUCCAAAUCAUUACUUUUAUAAUACUAUGGCUUCUGCUCCUUUCUGACUCGCACCACCUAAGUUUUUCUUUCUCUCCUGUAUCAUGUAUGUACACAUCUGGUUUCUUUAGUACAUUCAUGAUAGCUUUAGCAGAUGGAUCCAUUGUCAUUUUUUCUGACUUUUCUGACUUAAAUCCAGCCCGAAUCCUGGGCAUUUUCAUGAUCCAUGUACAUAGGAACCAGGUAAAUCCAUUUCUGCUAGAUUAAAUAUGAUUACAAUGUUUUUAUUCUUCUUUUAUUGAGAGAGAGAUUAUAUUUUCACCUCUUGAAACUAGGCUAGCUUUAUGACUACCCUAAAUGUGGUCAGUAGAAUGUGGUAGAAGUUACUGUGUGAAUUCUAGUAUGUUGACGUCUUUUCUGUGUUGCCUAAAUACCACAGUUGAAAAUCUGAACCAUUCUCUUGCCAGCAACCUGAAUGUUACAUGGCCACUUGCACACCAAAACCUUUAAUAUGUAUUUGCACAGUCAACUGGAUUUCUUAAUUCUUCUAGAGUGUUCUAUGAUACUUGAUCUCACUAUUAUUUAUCCAAUCAUUUAAGCAUGGGGUGGGGCAACAAAUUAUUUUUCUUUUUCUCUCAGUACUUAUUUUACCUUAACAAGCAAAUAUACAAAUUUUAUGUUAUUUUACCCUAUUUUAUAUACUGAGAAACUGAGACCACGAGAGAUUAAUUGACUUGUGCAGAGCUUCAUGGUUAAUGAAUGUUAGAGUCAAUGGAUGUAUCUGAUGCCAAAAGCUUUGUGCUUUGUAUUUAUUCAAACUGAUGUUCUGUUUGUUUUUAUUUUUUUAACAUUUUUUAAAAAGAUUUUAUUUAUUUAUUUAUUCAUGAGAGACACAGAAA
rnacentral:lncRNA from 1 species